AAGUGUUAAGUCUUUAAUUUUUAAUCCUUAGCUUACUUUGUAAGUUAAGGCUAGAUUUUAACAAAAAUUAAAGAUUAAAUUAGUAUUGAAUGAAACUUUGUUUAUAUAUCGAUAAUGACGAUAUAUAUAUUAUGUCUUGACCAAUUACGUGCCAGCAGUCGCGGUAAUACGUAAGAGACUAGUGUUAUUCAUCUUAAUUAGGUUUAAAGGGUACUCAAACGGUCUUUCGCAUAAAAAGACUAGAGUUAUAUAGAAGAAGGUAGUACCUUAAGUGUAGAGAUUAUAUUUGGUCAUACUCGAGGGACUUAGAAAAGGCGUAGGCAACCUUCUAAGCAAUUACUGACGUUGAAGGACGAAGGCAUAGGUCACGAACAGGAUUAGAUACCCAAGUAGUCUUUGCAGUCAAUGAUGAAUGCCAUAGGUUAGAUAAAAAUUUAGUCUAGUAAAUGAAAGUGUAAGCAUUUCACCUCAAGAGUAAUGUGGCAUUCGCAGGAACUGAAAU
rnacentral:rRNA from 2 species